AGAGUUUGAUCCUGGCUCAGAGCGAACGCUAGCGGCAGGCUUAACACAUGCAAGUCGAACGCGUGCCUUCGGGCACGAGUGGCGAACGGGUGAGUAACACGUGGGUCACGUACCCUGAGGUGGGGGAUAACCCGAGGAAACUCGGGCUAAUACCGCAUAUGGCUACGGCUAAAAGCCUUCGGGCGCCUUUGGAACGGCCCGCGGCCGAUUAUUUAAUCCUAGUUGGUGAGGUAACGGCUCACCAAGGGUACGAUCGGUAGCUGGUCUGAGAGGACGAUCAGCCACACUGGGACUGAGACACGGCCCAGACUCCUACGGGAGGCAGCAGUGGGGAAUAUUGGACAAUGGGCGAAAGCCUGAUCCAGCCAUGCCGCGUGGGUGAAGAAGGCCUUCGGGUUGUAAAGCCCUGUCGGGAGGGAAGAAAAAAAUGACGGUACCUCGCAAGAAAGCACCGGCUAACUCCGUGCCAGCAGCCGCGGUAA
rnacentral:rRNA from 1 species